UACGUAGGGUGCAAGCGUUGUCCGGAAUUAUUGGGCGUAAAGAGCUCGUAGGCGGUUGUUUAAGUUUGGUGUGAAAUCUCUCGGCUCAACUGGGAGGGUGCGCCGAAUACUGAAUGACUAGAGUGCGGGAGAGGAGAGUGGAAUUCCUGGUGUAGCGGUGAAAUGCGUAGAUAUCAGGAGGAACACCGGUGGUGUAGACGGCUCUCUGGACCGUAACUGACGCUGAGGCACGAAAGCGUGGGUAGCAAACAGG
rnacentral:rRNA from 1 species